GACGUAGGGCGCGAGCGUUGUCCGGAUUUAUUGGGCGUAAAGAGCUCGUAGGCGGCUUGUCGCGUCGAAUGUGAAAUCUCAGGGCUCAACUCUGACAUUGCAUUCGAUACGGGCAGGCUCGAGUUCGGUAGGGGAGACUGGAAUUCCUGGUGUAGCGGUGAAAUGCGCAGAUAUCAGGAGGAACACCGGUGGCGAAAGCGGGUCUCUGGGACGAUACUGACGCUGAUGCACGAAAGCUAGGGGAGCAAACAGG
rnacentral:rRNA from 1 species